rnacentral:rRNA from 1 species
UACGUAGGGCGCGAGCGUUGUCCGGAAUUAUUGGGCGUAAAGAGCUCGUAGGUGGCUUGUUGCGUCUGCCGUGAAAGCCCGUGGCUUAACUACGGGUCUGCGGUGGAUACGGGCAGGCUAGAGGCUGGUAGGGGCAAGCGGAAUUCCUGGUGUAGCGGUGAAAUGCGCAGAUAUCAGGAGGAACACCGGUGGCGAAGGCGGCU